UGCAAGUCGAACGGCAGCACGGGGGCAACCCUGGUGGCGAGUGGCGAACGGGUGAGUAAUAUAUCGGAACGUGCCCAGUCGUGGGGGAUAACGUAGCGAAAGUUACGCUAAUACCGCAUACGAUCUACGGAUGAAAGCGGGGGAUCGCAAGACCUCGCGCGAUUGGAGCGGCCGAUAUCAGAUUAGGUAGUUGGUGGGGUAAAGGCUCACCAAGCCAACGAUCUGUAGCUGGUCUGAGAGGACGACCAGCCACACUGGGAUUGAGACACGGCCCAGACUCCUACGGGAGGCAGCAGUGGGGAAUUUUGGACAAUGGGCGCAAGCCUGAUCCAGCCAUUCCGCGUGCAGGACGAAGGCCUUCGGGUUGUAAACUGCUUUUGUACGGAACGAAAAAGCCUUGGCUAAUACCCAGGGUCCAUGACGGUACCGUAAGAAUAAGCACCGGCUAACUACGUGCCAGCAGCCGCGGUAAUACGUAGGGUGCGAGCGUUAAUCGGAAUUACUGGGCGUAAAGCGUGCGCAGGCGGUUAUACAAGACAGGCGUGAAAUCCCCGGGCUUAACCUGGGAAUGGCGUCUGUGACUGUAUAGCUAGAGUGUGUCAGAGGGGGGUGGAAUUCCACGUGUAGCAGUGAAAUGCGUAGAUAUGUGGAGGAACACCAAUGGCGAAGGCAGCCCCCUGGGAUAACACUGACGCUCAUG
rnacentral:rRNA from 1 species